rnacentral:lncRNA from 1 species
GGGGGGGCAGUGGGCUUUGUGCAGCGGCUCGCAGCCUGUCUCCACCACGGCUUGGUCAGGCCUUGAGCGUCAGCCUGCCGCACCUACGCCAGAGGCGAUUCAGCGGACUGGGCUAUGGGAGGCAGUGAGCGGAGCCAGGAGCCGCCAUGGCCAUGCAUUGCCCCCAGCGGAAGGGCCGGGACAGCCGGCGCCUUGAGGAGUGUCAGCAUUUAGUAGGAGUAGCGAACGUACGGCUGUGGGGGCAGGUGGGAUUAGGCAGAGCAUGUUAGUUCAGGAGUAGGUAGGGUGCAGGCCCAAACCGCGGGACCAUAUGCGUGCGAAGUUAUGUGUGAGGCCCAACUACGGGACCUAAUGCGUGCCGUCGGUUGGCUGCGUGCGUGUGCUCGUGCCCUUGCUGUGCGUGCUGCCACCGGUCACUCGUACAACCAUGCCGUCGUUAGAACCCCGGACAUGUUUGUGGGGGGGACUUCAGCCCCCGGUGGCAGCCCUAGAGCAAAACAUGGCUGGGGCGUGACAGCUGUCGUGCGCCGUUGCCGGCGUGUGUCAUUCACCGGCAACCAGUGCCUGGGUAUGAGUCAUGAGGCGGUUAACAGUGUGUGAACUUGGGAGCGGGAAGUUACCCCAGCGGUUGAGAACUGGCGAGCUGUGGGUGGGUUGUGCGAACUACGUCUCGAUGUGUGGCUAGGGGUUUGGCGUCUGUGGUUUAGUUGUAGCCGUGUGACGGUGGUGUUUCUCUGGCUCUGGCGUCACCUUCGCCUGCACUGCGCAGGGCGAAGGCUCAUGGGCUCGUGUUGGGAGGCGUUGGGCAGCUGGUCAUGCGGGCGCUGAGCUGAGGAGGAGCUGCGUUGGGGGUCUGUUUGCCGUGGUGCUUUAUAAGAGUGUGCUCAGGGGAGCUUGGGGUCCAGGUUUCGUAGACGGGCGGUUGGCUUGCCCUGCUGGGAGGCGAGCGUAGGGUGUCGGGCAGGGGGCCGCCCAUGCUGGAGGCGGUGGCUCCCUAGUCCCGCAACACCGGCCCUGGCCCGGUGUUGCGGUGUUGCUCUCUCUCACACGACCUAUCGUGCGUAGCUUUGUGAAAGCAUCGGAGUGAUCAACCGACUGCUGCCUCAGACUCAACACCUGGGGCCGGGCUGCGGAGCGCGUUCACGCAACCAAACUCAACCACGGGGCAUCAGUUACCAGCCGCUCGCACGCAGCCGCUGUAGCUAGCUCAAUUAAGGCCCGCUCGGCUUAGUCCACCGAGCGCCCAGCCAGCUGGGAAAGACCGCCCUCGCCCCCGGAGUCGCCAUCGACAGCUGACGAGCAGUCGACCGUCCGCCCUCUGGCCCUAGCGAGUGGCCGUCGCCAAAGCGCCUUCGGCGGCAGCAAUGCUGCGGCCGGCGCGCCCCAUUCCCUCGUGGAGUCAGACCGGGCGGCAACAGUACGACGGCGAGCGCGCCGGGCGGGCCAGGUUCAUGGUGGACGCGCACGGCUACACUGAGGAGCAGGCGGCGUGCGCCGACAUCAACAGCCCCUAUGCGCAGGACCCGCGCCUAAUCGCCCGCGCCCUCAUCCACGGCGCGUCUGUCCCCGAGUCGCGGGCCCGGGUGUGGAACAACGGGGAGCUCGAUGGUGGCCAGCGCACGCUUGCGCGGCAUCGCGGCCGCUGGGCUGGCAGGCACGGCGGCUGGAGAGGCUGGCGCCGCGGCCGCAGCGCCCCAGUACGGGGCCGCCGGCCGCCGCGAGCGGCGCGGUGUGCCGGCCGCGGCGGCUGAGAGCGAGGAGCUGGGCCGCCUGCUGUUCCCCCGAGCCCGCACCCGGCGGCUUGACGAGACCGCCUCCGAUCUGGGGGGGCGGCGCGUGCGCAGGGCUGAGGAGGGACCGGACGGAGUGCUGGAGUACCUGGGCGCGCUGGCGCGGCCGCGGUACUUCCGCGUGCAGUGGAGUGACGGCGAGGAGCAGCAGCUGACGCUGGCGGAGGCGCGUCGGUUGCUCGCAGACUAGGUUGGCGGGGAGUGAGGAGGGUCGGGCAGGGGGCUAUUCAGAGGUUCACGAGGGAGAGGGCUAGGGGGGCGAGCGCUGGGGGGGGCAGUGGGCUUUGUGCAGCGGCUCGCAGCCUGUCUCCACCACGGCUUGGUCAGGCCUUGAGCGUCAGCCUGCCGCACCUACGCCAGAGGCGAUUCAGCGGACUGGGCUAUGGGAGGCAGUGAGCGGAGCCAGGAGCCGCCAUGGCCAUGCAUUGCCCCCAGCGGAAGGGCCGGGACAGCCGGCGCCUUGAGGAGUGUCAGCAUUUAGUAGGAGUAGCGAACGUACGGCUGUGGGGGCAGGUGGGAUUAGGCAGAGCAUGU